rnacentral:rRNA from 1 species
UCCUACGGGAGGCAGCAGUGGGGAAUAUUGCGCAAUGGGCGAAAGCCUGACGCAGCGACGCCGCGUGGGUGAUGAAGGCCUUCGGGUCGUAAAACCCUGUCGGGUGGAACGAAUUCCGCCCCGCUAAUACCGAGGCGGUUUGACGGUACCACCGAAGGAAGCCCCGGCUAACUACGUGCCAGCAGCCGCGGUAAUACGUAGGGGGCGAGCGUUGUUCGGAUUUACUGGGCGUAAAGAGCGCGUAGGCGGUUCGAUAAGUCGGAGGUGAAAUCCCUCGGCUUAACCGAGGACCCGCGUCCGAUACUGUCGAACUUGAGUGCAGGAGAGGAGAGCGGAAUUCCCAGUGUAGCGGUGAAAUGCGUAGAUAUUGGGAGGAACACCGGUGGCGAAGGCGGCUCUCUGGACUGUCACUGACGCUGAGGCGCGAAAGCUAGGGGAGCAAACGGGAUUAGAUACCCUGGUAGUC